rnacentral:rRNA from 1 species
AUAUUGCACAAUGGGCGCAAGCCUGAUGCAGCCAUGCCGCGUGUGUGAAGAAGGCCUUCGGGUUGUAAAGCACUUUCAGCGAGGAGGAAGGGUUCAGUGUUAAUAGCACUGUUCAUUGACGUUACUCGCAGAAGAAGCACCGGCUAACUCCGUGCCAGCAGCCGCGGUAAUACGGAGGGUGCAAGCGUUAAUCGGAAUUACUGGGCGUAAAGCGCACGCAGGCGGUUUGUUAAGUCAGAUGUGAAAUCCCCGCGCUUAACGUGGGAACUGCAUUUGAAACUGGCAAGCUAGAGUCUUGUAGAGGGGGGUAGAAUUCCAGGUGUAGCGGUGAAAUGCGUAGAGAUCUGGAGGAAUACCGGUGGCGAAGGCGGCCCCCUGGACAAAGACUGACGCUCAGGUGCGAAAGCGUGGGGAGCAAACAGG